GAAGAGAGAGCUGGCCUGGACCUCCAGGGCAGAGCCACUUCAUACCUGCCCACACCUGGUCCUCCUUUGCUGGCAACAGAGUUCAGAGCUAGCACCAGCCACAGCAAGGACAAAGCCCAGCCCAGGCAGCUGCUGGAGCUGCAGGGAGUCCCAGGAAUAAAAUGCCCUGAGAAGUCCCUGAGCACUUGCCUCCUCCACCUCCCCUGAGCUGAAAUCCCAGCACCCCACUGAUGGUUAUGCAGUCCCCCUGCAACUUCUCCGGCGCCACCUACCGGUGCAGCAUGGGUGGCUUGCAAGCUGCAGUGAUCACCAUCCCGGCCCUGCUCUCCUCAUCCACUCUGCUGGUCAUCAGCUGUAUAAAUGGAAAACGUGCCGCCGGUGGUCCCAGGUCACCUGCCCCAGCCCACCAUCCCCAUGAGGGGCCCAGCAGGUGUUUUCCCUCGCAUAUGAAAUUGAUGGUUGAGAAGGACAUCGGAGACAAGUCUUAGGUUCGUACAGCCUUUCGGUUCUUUUACCCAGAUCCUCCGUUUUUAAGUAGAAGCGAAAGUAGCUGAUGCGCAAAUAAGCCCACUUCCGGUGUUACCCUGGGCCUUUUUCCAGCUGAGCAGAGAUAAGGUCGCCCGCUUCC
rnacentral:lncRNA from 1 species